AGCAACAUGUGUACCCGAGCCAAGGAUAAAAGCGAAAGAGGUCGCGGCUGUUUCUUCCGUCGAGCCAGAGAAAUAAUUUGACGCUGACCAUCCUCUUCUUUCUUUUUUCUUCUCUUUCAUGAUCUUGUGUUUGAUGUGCUCCACGAUUGGCUUCACUGCAACCGUCAACAGCUGGCGUCAAUUUAAGGAGGAGCAGUGAGGCGUCCGUCAGAGCUCUUUUGCAAGACAUCCUGCUGGCUGCUGGCCAGCACCGCCACACGAAGACCCCCCACCAAUGCACCCCCCCACUGAUGUGAUAUCAUACCCCCUUUUGAAAAGAAGACCCCCCUCCUCUUCGACAUCAUAUCACAAUAACAAGGCCAGUCAGCGUGAGGUUGGCGAUGCUGACGCAUACAGUCCAUGAUGGAUGGACGGACGGAUGGAAAUUCUGCUUUCGCAAAAGUCCCCGGCUGCCAUCCCGUGCAGUGUCCAUGGUGAUGCGGCCACUCGCACUCCCAGGCCAAGACAAGGG